rnacentral:rRNA from 1 species
UACAGGGGGGGCAAGCGUUGUUCGGAAUUACUGGGCGUAAAGGGCUCGUAGGUGGCCAACUAAGUCAGACGUGAAAUCCCUCAGCUUAACUGGGGAACUGCGUCUGAUACUGGAUGGCUUGAGUUUGGGAGAGGGAUGCGGAAUUCCAGGUGUAGCGGUGAAAUGCGUAGAUAUCAGGAGGAACACCAGCGGUGUAGACGGCUUUCUGGACCAUUGCUGACGCUGAGACACGAAAGCGUGGGUAGCAAACAGG